AGGAAGAACAGAGCAUAGUCAUAACUUUCUUGAAAGAGGGGUGGUGUGAGGCCAAGCACUGAAGAUGCUGAUGCUUCUGCUGCUUCUGGGGCCCACAGGCUCUGGGCUUGGUGCUCUCGUCUCUCAACAUCCAAGCAGGGCUCUCUGUAAGAAUGGAACCUCCGUGGAGAUCAAGUGCCGUGCAAUAGACUUUCAGGCCGGAAGUAUGUUUUGGUAUCGUCAGUUGCCGAAACAAGGCCUCACACUGAUUGCAACUUCUAAUGAGGGCGCCAGCCCCACACAUGAACAAGGUUUUAGCGAGGACAAAUUUCCCAUCAGCCAUCCCAACCGAUCAUUUUCAACUCUGACGGUGACGGGUGCUCAUCCUGCAGACAGCGGCCUGUACUUCUGCAGUGCUAGUGACACAGCGCUGGGCAGAGAUCAGAGACCCAAACAAGAACGUUUGCAACAGCCCCCUCUUCCCCACCCCGCCAAACUCACGGAGCCCUGUGGAAGGAGGUGUGGAGAGGGGAAAACCACAGCUUCUCUGAUUGAGACAUCUACUUUGGCAUUUGGAUCUCCAAGACCAUUCAGCCGUGUCUUAUCUCCAUCCUAG